CUACGGGGUGCAGCAGUGGGGAAUAUUGCACAAUGGGGGAAACCCUGAUGCAGCAAUGCCGCGUGAAGGAUGAAGGUUUUCGGAUUGUAAACUUCUUUCGCUGGGGAAGAAAAAAAUGACGGUACCCAGAUAAGAAGCCCCGGCUAACUAUGUGCCAGCAGCCGCGGUAAUCCAUAGGGGGCAAGCGUUAUCCGGAUUUACUGGGUGUAAAGGGUGCGUAGGCGGCAAUAUAAGUCAGGUGUGAAAACCCGGGGCUCAACUCCGGGACUGCACUUGAAACUAUAUAGCUAGAGUACAGGAGAGGUAAGUGGAAUUCCUAGUGUAGCGGUGAAAUGCGUAGAUAUUAGGAAGAACACCAGUGGCGAAGGCGACUUACUGGACUGACACUGACGCUGAGGCACGAAAGCGUGGGGAGCGAACAGGAUUAGAUACCCUGGUAGUC
rnacentral:rRNA from 1 species